ensembl:lncRNA
GAAUUGGGGGAGUGGCCUUGCCAUUGGGCGUAAUUACCAAAAUCUGCGAUAAGAAAGGUCUCUGUGGCGCAAUUGGUCAGCGCGUUCGGCUGUUAACUGAAAGGUUGGUGGUUCAACCCCACCCAGGGACGUUUUGAGAUUGUAAAGAAAUGCAGACGUAACAUAAUUUGUGAAAAUGCUUUAUUUCUUAAUGAAUUGGGGGAGUCGCCUUGCCGUUGGGCGUAAUUACCCAAAUCGGCGAUCAGAAAGGUCUCUGUGGCGCAAUUGGUCAGCGCGUUCGGCUGUUAACCGAAAGGUUGGUGGUUCAACCCCACCCAGGGACGUUUUGAGAUUGUAAAGAAAUGCAGACGUAACAUAAUUUAUAAAGACACUUUAUUUCUUAAUGAAUUGCGGGAGUGGCCUUGCCAUUGGGCGUAAUUACCCAAAUCAGCUGUCAGAAAGGUCUCUGUGGCGCAAUUGGUCAGCGCGUUCGGCUGUUAACUGAAAGGUUGGUGGUUCAACCCCACCCAGGGACGUUUUGAGAUUGUAAAGAAAUGCAGACGUAACAUAAUUCAUAAAGACGCUUUAUUUCUUAAUGAAUUGGGGGAGUGGCCUUGCCAUUGGGCGUAAUUACCCAAAUCAGCGAACAGAAAGGUCUCUGUGGCGCAAUUGGUCAGCGCGUUCGGCUGUUAACCGAAAGGUUGGUGGUUCAAGCCCACCCAGGGACGUUUUGAGAUUGUAAAGGAAUGCAGACGUAACAUAAUUCAUAAAGACACUUUAUUUCUUAAUGAAUUUGGGGAGGGGCCUUAACAUUGGGCGUAAUUACCCAGAUAGGCGAUAAGAAAGGUCUCUGUGGUGCAAUUGGUCAGCGCGUUCGGCUGUUAACCGAAAGGUUGGUGGUUCAAGCCCACCCAGGGACGUUUUGAGAUUGCAGACGUAACAUAAUUUAUGAAGACGCUUUAUUUCUUAAUGAAUUGGGGG